rnacentral:rRNA from 1 species
GUGGGGAAUAUUGGACAAUGGGCGAAAGCCUGAUCCAGCCAUGCCGCGUGUGUGAAGAAGGUCUUCGGAUUGUAAAGCACUUUAAGUUGGGAGGAAGGGCAGUAAGUUAAUACCUUGCUGUUUUGACGUUACCAACAGAAUAAGCACCGGCUAACUUCGUGCCAGCAGCCGCGGUAAUACGAAGGGUGCAAGCGUUAAUCGGAAUUACUGGGCGUAAAGCGCGCGUAGGUGGUUCAGCAAGUUGGAGGUGAAAUCCCCGGGCUCAACCUGGGAACUGCCUCCAAAACUGCAUGACUAGAGUACGGUAGAGGGUAGUGGAAUUUCCUGUGUAGCGGUGAAAUGCGUAGAUAUAGGAAGGAACACCAGUGGCGAAGGCGACUACCUGGACUGAUACUGACACUGAGGUGUGAAAGCGUGGGGAGCAAACAGGAUUAGAUACCCUGGUAGUCC